CCUAGAGUUGUAGGCUUUGCCUGCUAUCUCUUACCCAUGUCUUUUGAGUACCUUACGUUUCCUCGGUGGGUUCGCCCACCGAUUGGACAAAUUUAAACCCUUUGCAGCUGAAAUCAGCGUCUGAAAAAACUUAAUAGUUA
rnacentral:misc_RNA from 1 species